rnacentral:lncRNA from 1 species
GGAUAAAAGACAAUCAUGUCCAAUACUUAGAGAUUUCCACUGCAAUGAAACCUAAGAGGCUGGGAGAUUUUAUUGUUUGAGACAUGGGUGAGAGAAGGUGAUCAAAUUGCGAAUGUGUGUGGAUUCUAGGCGAUGUGAAACUGUGAGAAUCCUUCUGGGACCAAGAGAAGAGUUGGUGAUGCCAGCUGGUGGCCCUCCCAUGGCCACCUGAGAUUCCCACUCUCUUCUGCUUACUCUUCUGAAUUUGGGGCAUUGUGGCAAAUUCCUCUGAGUGUCUUUUCAAACUUGUAGUUCAAUUGAUUUUUGAUUUCUGUGGUGGAAAAAUUAAGCAAAUUGAGUGCGGCCCCUACAGAGCACUCUAUCAUAGAAGCUAAAACUUACAAUAAAGCAAUUUGACUGUGCCCUGUUUCUGAAAUAUUUUCAUUUGCUUCAGUGACAGUGCUAGCUAUGAUUUCAGAUCAAAGAGGAGUAUAAAUUUAUUUUUUUUUAGUUAUUUUCAUAUAUAAAAAUGUGACCCGUGAUUUAUGGAAACAACUCGUCUGACUUGGUGCUAACAGGUUUUUGAUCCUCUUCUUCCAGCCAUGUGUUUUUAACCUUCAAAUACCCACUGCUCACCGAUACUAACACUCACUUCAGAAGCCAGUCAUCUGCCUACUUAGGAGUACUGAAUCAGCCAGUAAUUCACUUUUAAUUAGACUUUUCUCAUUAUAUUCGGCUUCUAAAGGCAACAUGCUUUUUAGGUUGCACAAACUUAGGUAACUAAAUGGAAACAGGCCAGGUGGAAUCUUAAUUAGAUAUAAGCCAGGUCUAAUGUCUAGUAUUUGUCUGCCUCACCCAUAGGAAGCCAAGGACCUGAUGGUAUCCACAAAAGGUCCCAUCAGAUCAGAGCAUUCUAAAAGAAAAUCUGCUGAGCCCAACAUUCUUAGAAGCCACUCUGCACAAUGACUGAUCUGCCCUGAACUGCUGGUUAUUAGCCAUUUGUCUCCUGGUUCGAGAACACAGGGGAGCAAUGAAUGUAAUUUCCAAGUACUUUUCUAAUAGCUUUCCAGGCAAAUCAGUGGAAUUGGAACACAUAAAGUGGGGAGGAUGCAAUGAAUAGUGUGAUGGUUUGUAUAUGCUUGGUCCAGGGAGUGGCACUAUUAGGAGUUGUGGCCUUGUUGUAGUAGGUGUGGCCUUCUUGGAGGUGUGUCACUGUGGGUAUGGGCUUUCAGACCCUCAUCCUAGCUGGCUGGAAGCCAGUCUUCUCCUAGUAGCCUUCAGAAGAAGUGGAAGGAGUUACAGAGACGGAGUUUGGAGCUGAGAUGAAAGGAUGGACCAUGUAGAGACUGCCAUAGCCAGGGAUCCACCCCAUAAUCAGCAUCCAAACACUGACACCAUUGCAUACACUAGCAAGAUUUUAUUGAAAGGACGCAGAUGUAGCUGUCUCUUGUGAGACUAUGCCGGGGCCCAGCAAACACAGAAGUGGAUGCUCACAGUCAGCUAAUGGAUGGAUCAUAGGGCUCCCAAUGGAGGAGCUAGAGAAAGUAGCCAAGGAGCUAAAGGGAUCUGCAACCCUAUAGGUGGAACAACAUUAUGAGCUAACCAGUACCCCGGAGCUCUUGACUCUAGCUGCAUAUAUAUCAAAAGAUGGCCUAGUCGGCCAUCACUGGAAAGAGAGGCCCAUUGGACUUGCAAACUUUAUAUGCCCCAGUACAGGGGAAUACCAGGGCCAAAAAGGGGGAGUGGGUGGGCAGGGGAGUGGGGGUGGGUGGAUAUGGGGGACUUUUGGUAUAGCAUUGGAAAUGUAAAUGAGUUAAAUACCUAAUAAAAAUGGAAAAAAAAAUCACUGAAGUCUAACAAAGGGGUGGGGACAGGGAGCGUCUAAAUUCCAGCACUCUCCCCACAGAGAGAGGGUGGAAAAACCCAGGCUUUCCUGCCUGGAUGUCAUCAGAUCUUGGCCUCCCAAGAGCAAGAAAUCAGUGGAAAUGUAUAUAUAUUUUAAUACGCCCUCAUUACAAAUAAAAAUGGUUUUACAUC